rnacentral:rRNA from 1 species
CCUACGGGUGGCAGCAGUGGGGAAUAUUGGACAAUGGGCGAAAGCCUGAUCCAGCCAUGCCGCGUGUGUGAAGAAGGCCUUCGGGUUGUAAAGCACUUUCAGUGGGGAAGAAAGCCUUGGGGCUAAUACCCUCGAGGAAGGACAUCACCCACAGAAGAAGCACCGGCUAACUCCGUGCCAACAGCCGCGGUAAUACGGAGGGUGCGAGCGUUAAUCGGAAUUACUGGGCGUAAAGCGCGCGUAGGCGGUCUGAUAAGCCGGUUGUGAAAGCCCCGGGCUCAACCUGGGAACGGCAUCCGGAACUGUCAGGCUAGAGUGCAGGAGAGGAAGGUAGAAUUCCCGGUGUAGCGGUGAAAUGCGUAGAGAUCGGGAGGAAUACCAGUGGCGAAGGCGGCCUUCUGGUCUGACACUGACGCUGAGGUGCGAAAGCGUGGGUAGCAAACAGGAUUAGAUACCCCAGUAGUC